GGGCCCGCACAAGCAGCGGAGCAUGUGGUUUAAUUCGAAGCAACGCGAAGAACCUUACCAGGUCUUGACAUCCCCUGACGACCCUAGAGAUAGGGAGUUCCCUUCGGGGACAGGGUGACAGGUGGUGCAUGGUUGUCGUCAGCUCGUGUCGUGAGAUGUUGGGUUAAGUCCCGCAACGAGCGCAACCCUUGUAUUUAGUUGCCAUCAGGUAAUGCUGGGCACUCUAGAUAGACUGCCGUAGAUAAUACGGAGGAAGGUGGGGAUGACGUCAAAUCAUCAUGCCCCUUAUGACCUGGGCUACACACGUGCUACAAUGGCCUGAACAGAGGGAAGCGAGAUAGCGAUAUGGAGCAAAUCCCACAAAUCAGGUCUCAGUUCGGAUUGCAGGCUGCAACUCGCCUGCAUGAAGUCGGAGUUGCUAGUAAUCGCGGAUCAGAAUGCCGCGGUGAAUGCGUUCCCGGGCCUU
rnacentral:rRNA from 1 species